rnacentral:sRNA from 1 species
UCGUGGUGCUGGCUGCCGCUGUUCAGGCGGCCGGGAACGGGCGGUGGGGAGCGGGCGGAGCUGGCCCUGCCUCUGCCUGGCCGGCGCCGCAGUCGGCGCGGGCCGCGCCCGCCGCCGCCAACUGCCCUGAGCGCUUGCUGAGGCCGAGGGAGACGUCGGGGCCUGCACCUGGAGGGAGCCUGCCGCGCUGGCCCCGAGGAGGGGGCGUUGCCAUGGCGACAGCCUCUCCCGCUGCUGACGGGGGGCGGGGGCGGCCCUGGGAAGGAGGGCUGGUCUCCUGGCCCCCCGCCCCUCCCCUUACUCUCCCCUGGACUUGGAUGGGCCCGAGUUGGGGGCAACACCCCGGGUUUUAGAUGCUUCUGGAUGUUCAAUGCUAGCACCUUUACAGACUGGAGCAGCUCGAUUUUCUUCGUAUUUACUUUCAAGAGCAAGAAAAGUGCUGGGCUCCCACUUAUUUUCUCCCUGUGGUGUUCCGGAGUUCUGCUCCAUAUCCACCAGAAAGCUGGCGGCCCACGGCUUUGGCGCAUCCAUGGCGGCAAUGGUGUCCUUCCCUCCCCAGAGGUAUCACUACUUUUUAGUGCUGGACUUUGAGGCCACGUGCGACAAGCCACAGAUUCAUCCUCAGGAAAUCAUCGAGUUCCCCAUCCUAAAGCUAAAUGGCCGGACCAUGGAGAUUGAGUCUACCUUUCACAUGUAUGUCCAGCCUGUAGUCCAUCCACAGCUUACCCCAUUCUGUACAGAGCUCACUGGGAUUAUUCAAGCCAUGGUGGAUGGUCAGCCAAGCCUGCAGCAAGUGCUGGAGAGGGUCGAUGAGUGGAUGGCGAAGGAAGGCCUCUUAGAUCCAAACGUCAAGUCAAUUUUUGUCACCUGUGGAGACUGGGACUUAAAAGUCAUGCUCCCAGGCCAGUGCCAGUACUUGGGCUUGCCAGUGGCGGAUUACUUCAAGCAGUGGAUUAAUCUGAAAAAGGUACU